rnacentral:rRNA from 1 species
UACGGGGGGAGCAAGCGUUGUUCGGAUUUACUGGCGUAAAGGGCGCGUAGGCGGCCUCCGCAAGUCGACUGUGAAAUCUCUGGGCUUAACCCAGAACGGUCAGCCGAUACUGCGGGCUAGAGUGCAGAAGGGCAAGCUGGAAUUCUCGGUGUAGCGGUGAAAUGCGUAGAUAUCGGGAGGAAUACCUGUGGCGAAGGCGGCCUACUGGGCCGGACCUGACGCUGAGACGCGAAGGC